CUCUGUCACAGUAACUGGUAUCAGUACCUACCUCGGCUGAAGAUCUGGUAUCACUGUCACUCUGAGACCGGUUUGGUCCCUGAACCAGCGUAUGACCUGUAAGGGUUAAAUUGCCCUUGCUAUGCCUAAGUUUGACGACCUUCUUGCACACCUCGGGACUGGGAGAUGGAACCUGCUCUAUGCCGUCGCUAUGAGUUAUUGGGCACUGCAGGUUCCUUUCCACAGCAUGGGUGCGGCUUUCCUCACUCCACACCAAAAGUUCACCUGCGUCGCUUCAGACAUUCCUCAAAACAGGUAGACCAUUUCUGAAGCUUCAGUUAAAGAGGCAGUUUACAAGAUCUG